GAUGAACGCUGGCGGCGUGCCUAAUACAUGCAAGUAGAACGCUGAAGGAGGAGCUUGCUCUUCUGGAUGAGUUGCGAACGGGUGAGUAACGCGUAGGUAACCUGCCUGGUAGCGGGGGAUAACUAUUGGAAACGAUAGCUAAUACCGCAUGACAACAGUUAUUGCAUGAUAACUGUUUAAAAGGGGCAACUGCUCCACUACCAGAUGGACCUGCGUUGUAUUAGCUAGUUGGUGAGGUAACGGCUCACCAAGGCGACGAUACAUAGCCGACCUGAGAGGGUGAUCGGCCGCACUGGGACUGAGACACGGCCCAGACUCCUACGGGAGGCAGCAGUAGGGAAUCUUCGGCAAUGGACGGAAGUCUGAACGAGCAACGCCGCGUGAGUGAAGAAGGUUUUCGGAUCGUAAAGCUCUGUUGUAAGAGAAGAACGAGUGUGAGAGUGGAAAGUUCACACUGUGACGGUAUCUUACCAGAAAGGGACGGCUAACUACGUG
rnacentral:rRNA from 1 species